CUUUCUUCUAGACAGUACUAAAGACUCAUCUGCCUCAAACACGGUGGUACCCACCACCUCUAAGAGACGACUCACACAAUCUCACAACAUCUGUGAUAUCCUAGCAACACAUGAUUACGUAGACCCUUGGAGAAUAACACACCCCAAUGAAACAGACUACUCCUGUCAUACGGCAGUACAUAACAGUUACUCCAGAAUAGACAGAUUCCUAAUUAGGACUACCUCCUUCACAAAAGUGCUGGAUACGGACAUAGGUGACAUUACGUGGUCUGACCACGUUCCCAUUACACUAACACUUGAAGAUAGAUUUCCUGCUAAUGGCCAAACCACUUGGAAGUUAAAUGAAACCUUGCUUACAAACCCGCACAAAAAAUCACACUAGACCUGCAGAAUUACUUUGCUGACAAUGACAGGCAGGACAUAGACCCAGAUUACGUCUGGCUAGCGCACAAGGCAGUUAUUAGAGGCAGCUUCAUAAAGCACGCUAGCCAUGCUAGAAGAACCCAUCAGUUAUAAUACC